CUCGGCAAUGGAUAUCUCGGCUCUCGCAUCGAUGAAGAGCGCAGCGAAAUGCGAUACGUGGUGCGAAUUGCAGAAUCCCGCGAAC
rnacentral:rRNA from 1 species